rnacentral:tRNA from 1 species
GGAGAGGUGGGUGAGUGGCUGAAACCACCGCUUUGCUAAAGCGGCGUGCGCCGAAAGGUGUACCGGGGGUUCGAAUCCCCCCCUCUCC